rnacentral:rRNA from 1 species
ACGCUCGACACCUACGGGGGGCAGCAGUCGGGAAUAUUGCGCAAUGGAGGAAACUCUGACGCAGUGACGCCGCGUAUAGGAAGAAGGUUUUCGGAUUGUAAACUAUUGUCGUUAGGGAAGAAAAAAGACAGUACCUAAGGAGGAAGCUCCGGCUAACUACGUGCCAGCAGCCGCGGUAAUCUGAGCGGGCUGGCAAGGC